rnacentral:lncRNA from 1 species
UCUUCUUUUUGUCUCAAACCAUGCCCGUGAAAAGGAAUUUUGAUGUAUUGCAGGGCCCAGCACCCAGAUGCUGUUCCUCUUCUGCCUGGGUCCUGCAUAAGAGAGAAUUAUAGCAUAUUGCUGGGCCCCCACCUGAUGAUAUAACUCUCCUGCCUGUGCCAGAGAAGCAGAAGGUGUUUUUACAUAUCUUGGGCUCAUUCUGUAGGUGUUUUUGCUCUCAUCAUUUGUCUGGGUUUUUUUCCACAUUUGGGAUUGUGUCAUAUUGCUGGGUCCAGCACCCAGUUAAUGUAACCCUCAUUUUUAGACCCUGCUUAGAGAGGGCAUUGUGACAUAUUGCUUGCCACAGCACCUAAGUUGUGCUACCCUCCUGCCACUUUUUUUUUUCUACAAAUGGGAUUUUGAAAUUUACAUUGCUUCAGUUCACAGGCAUGAUGAUCAAAGUUAAAUUGGAAUUCCACCAAGAGUAGAUAUUUUGCCUCUCAUCGCUAUGCUUAGGGCAAUAGGUAAUAUUGUGCCAUAUACCAGAGACCAGAUCAAAGGCCUAAUAAGGACUCUUGUACCUGGAGCCAGGACUUGUGCAGGAUGGUGACUCUCAUCCCUGAACAUUUCCACAGGUGUUAUUGUGACAUAUACCUGUGCCCACCUCCUGAGUGAUUUAAUAAUCCUGCCUGUUAUAGCCCACAGAUGACAUAUUGACGUAUACCUGG